rfam:Oryza meridionalis cultivar OR44 (W2112) chromosome 2, whole genome shotgun sequence.
UUUAAGUGCAAUCAUAAGUUUCCGUGCUCAAUUUUGAUCGUUUGACUUAUUUGAAUUUUUUAUAAUUAGUAUUUUUAUUGUUAUGAGAUGAUAAGAUAUAAAUAGUACUUUAUACGUGACUUAUGUUUUAAAUUUUUUUUAAAUAAGACGGACGAUUAAAGUCGUGCAUGAAGGCUGUACUUAAA